rnacentral:rRNA from 1 species
GUCGAGAGGCUUCGGCAAUGGGGGAAACCCUGACCGAGCGACGCCGCGUGGAGGAUGAAGGCCCUUGGGUUGUAAACUCCUUUUGUUGGGGAAGAAAUGCGACCAGGUGAACAAUCUGGUCGUUUGACGGUACCCGACGAAUAAGCUCCGGCUAACUCCGUGCCAGCAGCCGCGGUAACACGGGGGGAGCUAGCGUUGUUCGGAAUCACUGGGCGUAAAGGGCGUGUAGGCGGUCAGAUAAGUGGGAUGUGAAAUCCCUCGGCUCACCCGAGGACCUGCAUCCCAAACUGUCUGGCUUGAGUACGGGAGAGGAUGGAGGAAUUCCUGGUGUAGCGGUGAAAUGCGUAGAUAUCAGGAGGAACACCGGUGGCGAAGGCGUCCAUCUGGCCCGAUACUGACGCUGAGGCGCGAAAGCUAGGGGAGCAAACGGGAUUAGAAACCCGAGUAGUCC